AUCAUUAUUCUGGUGGAUCAUUGGAUUUUAUUGGGUAUGUACUGGUGGGCAGCGAAUGGUGGAUGAAUCCCCUCAAUUGUACUGGUAUGCAUGGAAAACUUUCUUUAUCUAAGCAAAAUGUAUGACCUUUAUUCAUUUUCAAAAAAAUGUAUGACCUUUAUUUUCAGUUUAUUUCUCAAAUCAAAGCUGUCAUCUUUAAUAACUUAAUCUGAAUGCAGGCUUUGCAUUGUUUUCUUGGCUUUUGAUGUAUUCUUUGUGAUCUUCUUACUUGUG
rnacentral:lncRNA from 1 species